GAUGAAGAACGUAGCGAAAUGCGAUAAGUAAUGUGAAUUGCAGAAUUCAGUGAAUCAUCGAAUCUUUGAACGCACAUUGCGCCCGUCAGUAUUCUGGCGGGCAUGCCUGUUCGAGCGUCAUUACGCCCCUCAAGUCCCCUGUGGACUUGGUGUUGGGGAUCGGCGAGGCUGGUUUUCCAGCACAGCCGUCCCUUAAAUUAAUUGGCGGUCUCGCAGUGGCCCUCCUCUGCGCAGUAGUAAAACACUCGCAACAGGAGCCCGGCGCGGUCCACUGCCGUAAAACCCCCCAACUUUUUAUAGUUGACCUCGAAUCAGGUAGGACUACCCGCUGAACUUAAGCAUAUCAAUAAGCGGAGGA
rnacentral:misc_RNA from 1 species